rnacentral:tRNA from 1 species
GUGGGUGUAGCUCAGCCGGUAGAGCACUGGGUUGUGGUCCCAGGGGUCGCGGGUUCGAAUCCCGUCACUCACCCCA